CUAGCUUGGGCUGAUGCAUUUGUUGUCAUAGCUGAUUCUGUUAGUAUGAUAAGUGAAGCUUGCAGCACAGGAAAGCCCGUUUACGGUGUGGGGUCUGAGCGUUGUAAAUGGAAGUUUGUCGAAUUUCACAAAUCAUUGAGAGAGCGGGGAGUUGUAGCUAGUUUAUCCUUCUAUGUUUUGUAGCUAGUUUUUUGUUUCCUAUAAUGAUGAUUGUGGCUUGCUUCGUUGUCGGUCAUUUCUAGGUUUUCCGAAAGGAUGAUAGAGCCAGUCUUGAUAGGAAGGAGUUGUUUAAGAACACUUUGAGAAAAGCAGCUUAUGCAUGGAAAAAGAUUAUUGAGCUUCGUCUUACGGAAAAGGAAGCUAAUAAGCUUAGAAACUUUGUGGAUCAGCCUGCUUUUACAGAUCUUCAUUGGGCAUAAUUCUAAUUAAUUUAUGGUACUAUGGUAUACGUGAGGCAGGCAAUUGUGGCUGAUGCAUCGACUGCUUUGUCACGAGCAGUUUGCAUUGCUACUAGAUAUAGUGUUGUUCGAAGACAGUUUGGGUCUCAGAAUGGUAGUCUUGAAACACAGGAUAAAUUUGAAGGUGAAGAAUUUUGAGAACUCAACAACAAUAGAUAUAGCAGGCAGUGGUGAGAUCAAAGGUAUAUUACUAAGUGCUGGAGUCCUUGCCAUGGUUGUUGGCAAUGAUACACUCUUAGCUGGAGCAGAGAUUAUUUAAAUCGCAUGAUGGUGUAAUUUUUGCAUGGAGAGGCAGUUCUAAAUCCAAUUCCCCUUUUGAACUGGUUGCAUCACUAUGCGGACACACUAAAUCUGUUGUUUGCCUGGCUGUUGGAUGUAACAAGAUGUUGUACUCAGGAUCCAAGGAUCAAAGCAUCAAGGUUUGGGACCUAGACAAAUUUGAGUGUAAAAUGACACUCAAUGCGCAUACAGGAGAAGUCACAUCCCUUAUUUGUUGGGACAAAUUCUUGCUAUCCGGUUCAUCAGACUGCGCUAUCAAGGUCUGGUAUAAAACCGUCGAGGAUACUUUGGAAGUUGCAUAUUCACACAAUGUAGAAAACAUUUUUUAACAUUUUUUAAGAAAUUAGAGGUUUGUUGUGUGGCUCUGAAUUACUAUAUGAUGAAUAAUUUUGUAGACUUUGCUUGAGAAGAUGAAGUCGGUGUACACGAAUGUAGAAGGUCUUCCUCCGGAUCGAAUUGUGGAAAGCAAUUGCUUCUCCAGGGCGUGGUAUUUUGGCCAUGGAUGAAUCCAAUGCUACAUGUGGAAAGCGGUUGGAUUCAAUUGGACUAGAGAACACCGAAGCUAAUCGUCAAGUAUGGCGUAAAAUUAUAUAUGAAGAAAGUGUUAUGACUUGGUUAAAAUAUAAUUUUUAUGUGUAUGAUUUUAUAGUACUUGAAAUAUUAUGA